CGCAUGGUGCUUCUUGUCAUUUGGAAAAAUCAAGGCUCCACAUGACAGCCCUUCUCUGCUCUGCUAACGCUGCGACCCGGUUUCUUCUGGCAGCUCUGAGAAUUGAACCCAGGGCUUCACUCAUGGUAGGCAAGCAGCCUACCUAACACUAAGGUCUACUUUUUCCAAUGUUUCAGAAUUUCCCUAAAUCCAUGCUGCUACACAGAGCGGAUCAGCCUGGCAACUCAGAUAUAUGCAAACAUAUUCCUGGGAUAGAAAGAUGAUUUUGAAAGCCAUCUUGCAAACAUGGGUGUCUAGCCGGAAGCUCAUGGGGACUUGGAUAUAUGGAGGCUUCAGAAGAGGGACCAGGCAUGACAGCGUUCCCUAUGUCAGCAUCAUGUUUCUAGUGACAGUAAGGCACAGUAUAUUGUCAUACUUCCUUUUUGUGAUGCUGUGGACAGAAACCAGGGUCUCUCCUCUGCUAGGAAUGUGUUCUAUUACUGAACAACAUCAUCAGCUACUAGUACAGAAUCAACAGUAAGAGCAAGAGCCAACUUUUUAAGGUGGCUGGCAACUGGCC
rnacentral:lncRNA from 1 species